rnacentral:rRNA from 1 species
GGGGAAUAUUGCGCAAUGGGGGAAACCCUGACGCAGCAACGCCGCGUGAGUGAAGAAGGCCUUCGGGUUGUAAAGCUCUUUAAUCAGGGACGAAGAAUGACGGUACCUGAAGAAUAAGCUCCGGCUAACUAC